GACGAACGCUGGCGGCGUGCUUAACACAUGCAAGUCGAACGGAAAGGCCCUGCUUUUGUGGGUGCUCGAGUGGCGAACGGGUGAGUAACACGUGAGUAACCUGCCCUUGACUUUGGGAUAACUUCAGGGAACUGGGGCUAAUACCGGAUAGGAGCUCCUGCUGCAUGGUGGGGGUUGGAAAGUUUCGGCGGUUGGGGAUGGACUCGCGGCUUAUCAGCUUGUUGGUGGGGUAGUGGCUUACCAAGGCUUUGACGGGUAGCCGGCCUGAGAGGGUGACCGGCCACAUUGGGACUGAGAUACGGCCCAGACUCCUACGGGAGGCAGCAGUGGGGAAUAUUGCACAAUGGGCGGAAGCCUGAUGCAGCAACGCCGCGUGCGGGAUGACGGCCUUCGGGUUGUAAACCGCUUUCGCCUGUGACGAAGCGUGAGUGACGGUAAUGGGUAAAGAAGCACCGGCUAACUACGUG
rnacentral:rRNA from 1 species